CGCUCUAUCAAAGACCAUUUCAUUCCAAUACCAAGCAAUUUUUUUUCUUAGGGCUAGGCCUUCAAUAAAUAAGAGCGAAAAAAUAGGUAAAAACAUAUCUGCCUCCACCUCACCCAAAAAUUUAUGACUAGUAAAACUGAAAGAAAAAACAAAAGGUGAAAAGAAAAAGAAAUAAAUUUUAAAAAUUGGAACAGAAAGAACAAGUAACUGUCACAUAAAAUGUUCAGUGCAACACUAGGAACAUUUUGUUUUAGCACACAAGCAAAAACAGAGCAAACUAAAAAUCAGAACAACAAAAUAACAUUCAAUGAAUAAAAAUUACACCUCAACCAAAAAAUUAGUUCAAAUCAGCUACAUAAAGCCUCUGUAACAUCCUGGGUUUGCAAAACUAACUUAUUAAGCAGAGUUUAGAACAAAAAUAAAUGUUAUAUAAAAAAAAGAAAAAGAUAUUUACAGUUGAAGAUUGCUUUACUGACCUCAGAAGAGAAAUUCCUGUGCUUAUGGAGUCAAAAAGGAGACAAAGGAAGAGUGCCAAAGACUAAAAAAUAUAUGAGAGUUUUUUGCGUGGGGAAGGAGUAAUAGGAGAUGAAGGCGCAGCGGCAGAGUUGUGGAGAAGGUUUUGAUUUUGUUCCUUCCC
rnacentral:lncRNA from 1 species